GACGAACGCUGGCGGCGUGCUUAACACAUGCAAGUCGAACGGAGUGGCGAACGGGUGAGAAACACGUGGGUGAUCUGCCUUGCAAUUCGGGAUAAACUGGGGAAACUGGGUCUAAUACCGGAUAGUGCAAGAGGAGCGCGCGGCCUAUCAGCUCGUUGGUGGGGUAAUGGCCUACCAAGGCGUCGCCGGGUAGCCGGCCUGAGAGGGUGUACGGCCACAUGGGGACUGAGGUACGGCCCAGACUCGUACGGGAGGCAGCAGUUGGGAAUAUUGCACAAUGGGCGGAAGCCUGAUGCAGCGGCGCCGCGUGUGGGAUGAAGGCCUUCGGGUUGUAAACUCCUUACGACAGGGACGCGGUACCUGUAUAAGAAGCACCGGCUAACUACGUGCCAGCCGCCGCGGUAAUUC
rnacentral:rRNA from 1 species